UACGUAGGGUGCGAGCGUUGUCCGGAAUUAUUGGGCGUAAAGAGCUCGUAGGCGGUGUGUCACGUCGGCCGUGAAAACCUGCAGCUUAACUGUGGGCGUGCGGUCGAUACGGGCAUCACUGGAGUUCGGCAGGGGAGACUGGAAUUCCUGGUGUAGCGGUGAAAUGCGCAGAUAUCAGGAGGAACACCGGUGGCGAAGGCGGGUCUCUGGGCCGAUACUGACGCUGGAGGAGCGAAAGCCAUGGGGAGCGAA
rnacentral:rRNA from 1 species